UAGGACGACGUCCCGCGAAAGCGGGAUUUCCUUCGGGACGUCUUACAAGGUGCUGCAUGGUUGUCGUCAGCUCGUGCCGUGAGGUGUCGGGUUAAGUCCCAUAACGAGCGCAACCCUUAUCAUUAGUUGCCAUCAGGUAAUGCUGGGAACUCUAAUGAAACUGCCUACGCAAGUAGUGAGGAAGGUGGGGAUGACGUCAAAUCAGCACGGCCCUUAUGUCCAGGGCGACACACGUGCUACAAUGGCCAGUACAGAGGGUUGCUACCUGGUGACAGGAUGCUAAUCUCGAAAGCUGGUCUCAGUUCGGAUUGAAGUCUGCAACUCGACUUCAUGAAGUUGGAUUCGCUAGUAAUCGCGCAUCAGCCAUGGCGCGGUGAAUACGUUCCCGGGCCUUGUACACACCGCCCGUCAAGCCAUGGGAGUUGGGGGUACCUAAAGUCCGUAACCGCAAGGGGCGGCCUAGGGUAAAACCAAUGAUCUGGGGCUAAGUCGUAACAAGGUAGCCGUA
rnacentral:rRNA from 1 species